CUGUUGGUAUUUACUGAACAUAAUUUACAGUAAUUCCUUUAUUCUUUCUUUGUCUAACCAAUAAUUAUCUUUGUAAUAGGUAGUAGAAUCGUGAACUGAACAAAACUGUACACAUUAAGUGUUCACAACAUUUCUAUUUGUCUUUUGUUUCUGUAGGAAUCCAAAACAAAGUUAAUCUGAUCAACAGGGAUCAAUAGAAAAUGUUGUCAUUAGGUCCACAAGCUGAAGGACAUCUCAGUACGUGGGACUGCACCCGUGUGAGCUGGCUACCUCUGGAAGAGACACCAGCCAAUUCUUCAGCCUCUAUCUACUUGGUGCCUUUACCUGAAAAGCUGGUAGUGGACUGGGCUGCAGAGGGCCCUUCUGUCAACUUUUGUGACUGAGGAAUGCUUAAGACGAUGUAGGAUGGGUCCACCACCCUGAGUCACAGGUGAGUAACACACAGCAGCAGGGCAGGGACUUGCCAGCCAGGAUUCUGUUACACCAUUUCCAGGGUCUAGAGGUGGCAAGGAGGCCAGUUGGGAGUUAGAGCGCUUGCCAUUGUUUGGUAAUGAGUCAAGUCCAAGAAUGUAAAUCCAGUCUUGUGGUAGCAGCCAGGUCUUACUCAGCUGGGUGAGCACCAGACAGGUCCUGGAGUUAGAUGGCAGGUCUGAGGUCAAGCUGGGAAGUCAGUGCAUGGAUCCGAGCCCAGUCCAGCAGACUGCAUAGCUGAGCAUAGCAGUGACAGACCUGGAGAUGGGCACACUUAGUGCAUAGCUCAGGCAGGAAGAAAUGGCCCCAUUGAUUUGGAACGGGGCCCCAGUGUGUGUGUGGGCAACCACGCAGGGCUAUGUGCCUAGGACCUACAAGUGCCCUUAGGGCCUUGAUCAGCUCAUGGGAUGGUGGCUGGCCAGUAAUCAGAGAGCAGCACUAGCAGGUGGAUCUUAGCUGGAAGGUGCAGUACUGGACAGAAGGAAGGAUGGAAAGAAGGUCCCUCUGGCUCAUGGUGAGGCAGCCAACCAGGCUGGACAGAGGAAAGCACAUUGGGCUCCCAUUUUGAUGAAGCUGAUGGCAGUGCUUUUAUGGCUAGCAGGACGAUGACGUUUUCACUCUGUUUCUGUCUACUACCUUGGCUUGUGAAAAUACACCUUGCAGUAGGCCUCUACUGUCAAUCACCAUUAACUUGUUUGAGGUAGAAGAAGUUCUUAUAAAUCUUCUCCUGACUUCUUCUAUCCCAGCUCCUGAUUCCUUUAUUUCAUGUUCAGCUAGAGUCUAUUUGGCAAUGAAAUAAUUAAUAUUAAAUAUUUAUAAUCAAUAUGUCCACUUCCAUAUAUCUUACAGAAGGAACUGAGGAUUGAUUGCUUGUUCUCUUUAUCUUGAUGUUAAUUUUGUUUUUAUCUUUCC
rnacentral:lncRNA from 1 species